GUGGAUACAGCAAUUUUAUCUCCACGGGCAGAGUUGCAAUAAGCCUGUUUACAUACUGACACCAACAACAUAGCAUUAGGUAUCUCUAUAACCAUCUGUGCUCGCAUGCUAAGUUGCUACAGUCGUGUCCGGCUCUUUGCGACCCCAUGGACUGUAGCCUGCCAGGAUCCUCUGUCCAUAGGAUUCUCCAGGCAAGAAUACUGGAGUGGGUUGCCAUUUCCUCCUCCACAGGAUCUUCCCAACCCAAGGAUUGAACUUGUGUGUCCUGAGGCUCCUGCAUUGCAGGGAAGAACCCAUUAUAAAGGUUGUGUUAAUUCUGGGAUCAGAUCACUAUAUCCUGAUCAGGCAUCUGGAAAAUGGAGGAGAAAAUGAAGACAACAAGGGACUUCUUCAAAGGUUCAUGGGUAAGGUUCGAACUCAUUCAUUUGAUCCCAAACAUCAUGACCUUUGCCAAAAUUGUAACUGAGCCAUCAGUGAAAGUGGAUGAAGGAUACAGAUUUGGUUAUCAUGGACUUGAAUAUCUGGCAUG
ensembl:lncRNA